rnacentral:rRNA from 1 species
AUUUACUUCCGUCCGCUCUGACGUUCUCAAGCAUUGUACCGCGAGAUUAGUACUACGGUGGGUGACCACGUGGGAAUACCUCGUGUUGUAUGUU